rnacentral:rRNA from 1 species
UACAGAGGUCUCAAGCGUUGUUCGGAUUUACUGGGCGUAAAGCGCACGUAGGCGGAUAUUUAAGUCAGGGGUGAAAUCCCAGAGCUCAACUCUGGAACUGCCUUUGAUACUGGGUAUCUUGAGUAUGGAAGAGGUAAGUGGAAUUCCGAGUGUAGAGGUGAAAUUCGUAGAUAUUCGGAGGAACACCAGUGGCGAAGGCGGCAUCCUGGACCGGCAUUGACGCUGAGGAGCGAAAGCCAGGGGAGCAAACGGG